rnacentral:misc_RNA from 1 species
CUCUCUUUUCUCCCCCUAUUUCUCUAUUCUAUUAUCUUUCUCUCUUCUAUUCUUCUGCUACCCUAUUUCUUCUCUGUUAGGGUUUCCCAAACCCCAACACACUCCAAUGAAAAUUAAAAUUUCCCAAUAGCUCACUUUUGCAUUAAAUAUAUCUUGCAUAUUUAAAUAAAGAAAGCCAUUACCCACUCAUUAUCCCAUCAGGGUAGCGUUACGAAGGAUUUAAACAGGUCCUAUCCUUCAACGGUAUCACACAAUGCAAUUGCUCUACACUCUUGUGCUGGUACUCAGCAAAAGCAAGUUUAUAUGAAAACUACUUGUUUUAAAGGGAAAAAUGGGAGGCAACAGCUAGAAAACUACAUCUGUAGUGAUGCAAAAUGUCCUGUUACGUACAGCAGGAUUAGGUUCAGGAAAAAGUCAGUAACAGUUAGGUAUGCCUGAAAGUAGUUGGAAUUGUAACUGAAACUGUUAGCAGGUUAUUGCAGGUGGUUGCCUGCUGUUAGUAGCAGUUAGCAAAGUUAGAAAAUAGUUAGAACUACCUGAAUAAAUAGCAGCAGAGAUGUCUUCGUAUGUCAUUCAAGAAAUAUAUCUUUCUUUCCCAAUCUUUAUCCUCUAUCUCUUUUCUCCCUAAAUCCUCUGUUCUAUCUUCUAUUUUUCUCUCCUGUCUACUAUUCUUUCCAUAUUCCUUCUAAUCUUUCAAUUACCUCUAAUUUCUUCGGUAUUACUUUGUUAAAGCUUCCUUUCAAAUAAAUCAUUUGCAAGAAAAGA